UUUUGUGUGUGCUUUUUUAGACCAUUGCGUGACCUAAAUGAUAGUCCGCAAAUAUCGCAUUUGAAAAACAGUUCAGUAGUAUGGCAAAACGAGUGCUCCUUCAGCCAAGAAGGAAAAGGAAACCCUUUUCCGCAAAUUUCGCAUUCAUAUGGCCUCUCGGAGGUGUGACUUUUCUUAUGAAAUUUCACAUCUCGCGCUGAUUUGAAUGAUAAACCGCAAAUACCGCAUUUAAAAGGCCGUUCUUCAGUAUGAGAACUCAUGUGCGUUAUGAGUUCUGCUCUAUGCCGAUGAGCUUUCCCACAAAUCGUACACUCGUGUAGUUUUGCGUUGCUCAAGGUGGUGCGUUGAUGAAGCUCCAGAUGUAAGUGAAGUGCUCUAAAUUGUCUGUACUGUUUACCACAUAUGUCACAGGUGUAUUUCACUGAUCCUUCACUUCGGCUGUUAUCAGUCUGAUUUGGCUCCAAAUUUUCUGUGUUGCUGCAACAGAAAACAUAAAACAAAUUGGUUUACAAUCAUAGUGAUAUUAUUAUAGAGUCUGAUCGAGAGAACUCGCAAAAGCGAUGAACAGUUAAUCUACACAUAAAGCUAUCUACGUAUGAAGCUCAUUCAACAUUAGACAUGUAAAAUACUUACCCUGGGGAUGGCUCGACCUUGUGGAUCUUCAUAUGGUUUUUCAGAAUACUACGUCUCUUAUACGUUGCGUCACAGAUGUCGCAUUUAAAGGGUCGCGCAUCGCUGUGAGUGCGCAUAUGUUCCACGAGACUACUGUUAUCUGCGAAUGUUUUACCGCAGGUCACACAUUUAUAAGGGCAAUCUGUGCGGUGUAUCUUCAUGUGGUUUGAUAAAUAUGAUUUUAGGGAAAAAAGUUGCUUGCAAAUGUCACACUCAUAAUUCCGGUCUCCUGUAUGCGCAUUCUUAUGGUUCCGCAUACGUAGAGCUGUGCGAAACGUUAUACCACAGAUAUCACACACAAAAGGACGUUCCCUGAACUCGCAUGUGAACUUUUUCCGCGAACGAUCACGAACGCUGGUAUUGUGUCUUAAAUCAAUAAAAUUUUUGAAACAGAAAUAAAAGCGGGAGAAAAUAUGUAUAUUAGAUUAUAUUAUCAUCAUAGGUAAAGUUUAUCUUAGUGAUUUAACAAACAGAUUAAAUCACAAACUCUUCAGUCUGAUAAUUUCAGUCUUGUGACUGAAAGUUUUGUAUACACAUUGAAUAAUCCACAGUUACAACUUAACAAAAAAGCAGGAACAAAAUUACCUGGAACCAGAAACUGCAAUAACAUCGCCAACUGCCUCAGUCUCCGCUUCAUCGGUGAUGUUUGUUACAGGUUCUUGUUUUAUAUUCGUUGAACUUCUCUCUAGGGCGUUCGUUACGGUCGGUUCACCGGAGCACCGAUCGAUGAUACCUAGUGUAAUUUCCUCUUCCGCAGUCACAGCUUCUGAUAAAAGAACCUCUUCUACCUUUAUUGUGGAAGUGAAUUCUUCCACCUUUAUUUGGCUGAAUUCUUCCAUUCCGCACAAAUAACCAACGUGUGUAGGUAAUAGAAAAGAAAAAAACCUUUUUGUUUCAAAAACAUCCGCCGAGUUCAUGAAUGUUUUCCCAAGUCGAGUCGAGGUAAACAAAAACAUGGCGUGCACGCUAAAGGCAUACUGAUGUACAAAAUGUACAAAAUUACUCCGGAAAAAAAUCCACUGAAUCAAUUCCGGACGAAUCUUACAAAGACUACAAAACUCAAAAAAGACAAACAAAGUUUUCAAUCAAAAAUUCAAAUCCUAAAUAACGGUGGAACAAUAUAAAUGUCAUCCAAAUACUCUAAUGAAAGCAAAAUUGUUCUAGCUUUGUACAUGGUAAACCUAAAACUUGAAUUUCAGUCGCUUUACAUUGUACACUGUUCGUUCGCUAACUGGGCUGAGGGCCUAGCCCAGUUAACGAAUGUCGCUCGCUAACUGGGCUGACAUUUCAAAUGUCGUCAAAUAUCGAGGGGGAUUCGGAUGUAAUCGCGCUAGGCAAAACUCAGCGAAAAUUGGAAAACGUUUUAAACAAAUACACUAAAAAUCCUUAUUGAUGAACGGAAAAUGAGAAAAAAUAAAUUGUUGGCCUUGCGUGUGCUUUAUUCUCACUAACCGUUGCCUGGAAACAUGUUCUUUUCAUGAAAUAUUUAUUCGACCUGGAAACCAGUAGAUGGAUAUCUAGUGGAUCGCAUAUAUGAUGACAACCAAAAUCCAUUGAACUGAAAAAAUCAUUCUCAAUUUACUAUUCAUGUGCCCCUAUCUCGUUUUGACAGCAAUAUAACAAACGCUGAUU